rnacentral:rRNA from 1 species
CAGCCGCCGCGGGAAUACGUAGGUGGCAAGCGUUGUCCGGAAUUAUUGGGCGUAAAGGGCUCGCAGGCGGUUUCUUAAGUCUGAUGUGAAAGCCCCCGGCUCAACCGGGGAGGGUCAUUGGAAACUGGGAAACUUGAGUGCAGAAGAGGAGAGUGGAAUUCCACGUGUAGCGGUGAAAUGCGUAGAGAUGUGGAGGAACACCAGUGGCGAAGGCGACUCUCUGGUCUGUAACUGACGCUGAGGAGCGAAAGCGUGGGGAGCGAACGGGAUUAGAUACCCCGGUAGUCCCUGUCUCUUAUAC